rnacentral:rRNA from 1 species
AUACGGAGGAUGCAAGCGUUAUCCGGAUUUAUUGGGUUUAAAGGGUGCGUAGGCGGUUUGCUAAGCGGGAGGUGAAAUGCCGGCGCUCAACGUCGGAAGUGCCUCCCGAACUGGUGGACUUGAAUGACUCUGCCGUGGGAGGAAUGUGUAGUGUAGCGGUGAAAUGCUUAGAGAUUACACAGAACACCGAUUGCGAAGGCAUCUCACGAAGGGUUGAUUGACGCUGAGGCACGAAAGCGUGGGGAUCAAACAGGAUUAGAUACCCUGGUAGUCCACGCAGUAAACGAUGAUGGCUAACCGCUGGGCUUAUCAGUUCAGUGGCCAAGCGAAAGCGAUAAGCCAUCCACCUGGGGAGUACGUUCGCAAGAAUGAAACUCAAAGGAAUUGGCGGGG